CGGGGCGUGGCUCAGCUUGGUAGAGCGCUACCUUGGGGUGGUAGAGGUCGCACGUUCAAAUCGUGUCGCUCCGACCA
rnacentral:tRNA from 18 species